AAAACUUUCAACAACGGAUCUCUUGGUUCUGGCAUCGAUGAAGAACGCAGCGAAAUGCGAUAAGUAAUGUGAAUUGCAGAAUUCAGUGAAUCAUCGAAUCUUUGAACGCACAUUGCGCCCGCCAGUAUUCUGGCGGGCAUGCCUGUUCGAGCGUCAUUUCAACCCUCAGGCCCCCCUCCCCGGGCGGCCUGGUGUUGGGG
rnacentral:rRNA from 1 species